rnacentral:rRNA from 1 species
GUGAGUAGUUCAGAGUUUGAUCCUGGCUCAGGACGAACGCUGGCGGCGUGCUUAACACAUGCAAGUCGAGCGGGGAUCUGAAACGGAAGUCUUCGGAUGGAAGGUUCAGAUUCUAGCGGCGGACGGGUGAGUAACGCGUGAGCAAUCUGUCCUACACAGGGGGAUAACACUUGGAAACAGGUGCUAAUACCGCAUAAGACCACGGGAUCACAUGAUUCUGAGGUAAAAGAUUUAUCGGUGUAGGGUGAGCUCGCGUCCGAUUAGCUAGUUGGUGAGGUAACGGCCCACCAAGGCGACGAUCGGUAGCCGACCUGAGAGGGUGAUCGGCCACAUUGGAACUGAGACACGGUCCAA